AAGUCGUAACAAGGUAACCGUAGGUGAACCUGCGGUUGGAUCAUUAAAAAGAUUCACGCUGUAUUUCCUUUCGGGAUGCAGCUCUCACCUAAAAAGUGAGUCAACAUCAUGUGAACUGUUCUGUCUCUGGCGGUGGGAUGGCUUCAAGACCAUCUGUCAGCAUUCAACAUAAUAUCAUUAUCUUGAUUUGCCGUGGACAAGCCGCCAACGGUGUGAAAGGGGAGUUGGUUGACGCCGUCAUGGCUUCGUCUAGAACUCUUCCCUCUUACAAACUUUUGCCUUCAUAUCAUGUCUGACAUAUUUGUAUCUAAAAUGUACAAAAACAACUUUUGGCAACGGAUCUCUUGGCUCCC
rnacentral:misc_RNA from 1 species